CAGUAUAUUCUUGUGGCUUGGUGGAUUUGUAAAGCUCAAAUCACAGGAGUAUACUGUGAGACAUCGCGGGAAUCAGCAUUGAUGGUUUGAUUGGCCGGCUAAAAUCGAUACUAACGGAUUGCUGAUCGUACCAAGCAGGAAAAAAACAAUUCCGCAUUAUAGAAAAGAGAGCGAGAGAAGGAGCACGCAAAUACCCAAAUACGCAUCAAUGACGGACGGAUUCCAAGUAUCAGCCAGAAAGUCAAUUAGAGUGAAGAAGACGGCACAAACAAGAACACGUGUUACGGCAAAUGGCGGGAUUUAGAAAUCUGGCAAGCGCAUCAUCCUAUCGAAGCAAGCGGAAAAUCGCGAUGGCGGAUCAAAUUUUCCUGUGGCAAUCUUUGACCAUCCAUUGCCAAGGGUAAGUUCUUUCCCCUUGUAGAAAAUUAGGUCAAAUUGAAACUAAGAAAAAAAAAAAUUAUGCGAAAAUAAAAGUGAUUCUGCUUCGUAGAAGUAGAACGAAAAAGGAGAA